rnacentral:rRNA from 1 species
AGAGUUUGAUCCUGGCUCAGGAUGAACGCUAGCUACAGGCUUAACACAUGCAAGUCAAGGGGCAGCAUGGUCUUAGCUUGCUAAGGCCGAUGGCGACCGGCGCACGGGUGAGUAACACGUAUCCAACCUGCCGUCUACUCUUGGACAGCCUUCUGAAAGGAAGAUUAAUACAAGAUGGCAUCAUGAGUCCGCAUGUUCACAUGAUUAAAGGUAUUCCGGUAGACGAUGGGGAUGCGUUCCAUUAGAUAGUAGGCGGGGUAACGGCCCACCUAGUCUUCGAUGGAUAGGGGUUCUGAGAGGAAGGUCCCCCACAUUGGAACUGAGACACGGUCCAAACUCCUACGGGAGGCAGCAGUGAGGAAUAUUGGUCAAUGGGCGAGAGCCUGAACCAGCCAAGUAGCGUGAAGGAUGACUGCCCUAUGGGUUGUAAACUUCUUUUAUAAAGGAAUAAAGUCGGGUAUGCAUACCCGUUUGCAUGUACUUUAUGAAUAAGGAUCGGCUAACUCCGUGCCGGCAGCCGCGGUAAUACGGAGGAGCCGAGCGUUAGCCGGAUUUAUUGGGUUUAAAGGGAGCGUAGAUGGAUGUUUAAGUCAGUUGUGAAAGUUUGCGGCUCAACCGUAAAAUUGCAGUUGAUACUGGAUAUCUUGAGUGCAGUUGAGGCAGGCGGAAUUCGUGGUGUAGCGGUGAAAUGCUUAGAUAUCACGAAGAACUCCGAUUGCGAAGGCAGCCUGCUAAGCUGCAACUGACAUUGAGGCUCGAAAGUGUGGGUAUCAAACAGGAUUAGAUACCCUGGUAGUCCACACGGUAAACGAUGAAUACUCGCUGUUUGCGAUAUACAGCAAGCGGCCAAGCGAAAGCGUUAAGUAUUCCACCUGGGGAGUACGCCGGCAACGGUGAAACUCAAAGGAAUUGACGGGGGCCCGCACAAGCGGAGGAACAUGUGGUUUAAUUCGAUGAUACGCGAGGAACCUUACCCGGGCUUAAAUUGCAGAUGAAUUACGGUGAAAGCCGUAAGCCGCAAGGCAUCUGUGAAGGUGCUGCAUGGUUGUCGUCAGCUCGUGCCGUGAGGUGUCGGCUUAAGUGCCAUAACGAGCGCAACCCUUGUUGUCAGUUACUAACAGGUCAUGCUGAGGACUCUGACAAGACUGCCAUCGUAAGAUGUGAGGAAGGUGGGGAUGACGUCAAAUCAGCACGGCCCUUACGUCCGGGGCUACACACGUGUUACAAUGGGGGGUACAGAGGGCCGCUACCACGCGAGUGGAUGCCAAUCCCAAAAACCUCUCUCAGUUCGGACUGGAGUCUGCAACCCGACUCCACGAAGCUGGAUUCGCUAGUAAUCGCGCAUCAGCCACGGCGCGGUGAAUACGUUCCCGGGCCUUGUACACACCGCCCGUCAAGCCAUGGGAGCCGGGGGUACCUGAAGUGCGUAACCGCGAGGAGCGCCCUAGGGUAAAACUGGUGACUGGGGCUAAGUCGUAACAAGGUA